AGACUGUGGAUUUAUCUGUUUGCCCAUCAUGGAAUCUCUAGCACUUGCCAUACUGCCUCGUAUGGGGUGCUGGCUGAGCAGACACUACACGCUGGGUACCAGGCCAGCUGCUAAGUGCAGCCUCGAGAAACAAGCAAUUAAUGACCCCGAGUUUCUUGCAGGGGUGAUGAACACGUUCUACAAUUGUGGUGGUGGGUGCACACAAGUGUGUGAAUAUACUCAAAACCACUGAACUGUACACUCUAAGUGGAUGAGUGAAGACCUGGAACAGAUCUCUCCGGACCCACUGAAGUUUGCUGGAAGGUGCCACCUAGUGGAACAUCAGAUGACCUGCUGCUUAGACCAAAAGAACCC